rnacentral:snoRNA from 1 species
AAGCAAGCAUGAUGAAUCAAUUAGAUGUCUGAGAUGGAUUUUCCAUUCCUGAGUGUUAAAACCUUGAGGCAUUUAUAAUUUUUUCUGACUUGGAACUU